GGGGCUGUGGCGCAGUGGUAGCGCGUUCGCUUUGCAUUCUCAUUCAGAGCCUGCGAAAGGUCUAGGGUUCGAUCCCCUACUGCUCCA